UUAGCUGCUGAAGAAGGAGAGUCGCAUUCAGCCAGGGAUCACUGAGCAUUGAAAAGUCCAUCUGAGACCUGCUUUCAUUGCACUGCCUCGUGAGGAGCUGUAGGAGAAGAUAUCAUAACUAUUCCCCACUUCUAAUUGUUAGAAGCAACAGCUGUCUAUCAAGAACAAUCUGAGGAUUGUGCACAAAUUGAUUUGGGUCUAUCAAGUGCUGGCUUUCGAUUCCAGUCUGACUUCACUACCACAGGAGCUUCUUGCUCAGGCUUCUGUUCCGGCUCCAUUCUCUCCCUGCCAUUAUAAUGCCAUCCACUGCAGCACCAUCUCUUCAAUCAGUGCAAAUUGCUGCCUUCAGAAGGAAGCACACGGGCCUAUGAAUUUUAUAUCAGCAGGGAUUACCAAUGAGUCAUGCUUGAUGUUGUAAAAACUAUUCAGGAGGUAUCUGGCUGUCAGUGCACAUGAGUUAAGUACCGUAAAAUAACAGAUGUCACACAUCUCACAAGAACAACAGGGAGUCAAUAUACGCGGCAGAGUAAAUCUGAUUACCUUAGAUAGUAAGGAAAAGAGAAAGAAUGCAAAACCAGAUGAGCCUAUGGCUGUAAUUUAAAAAACAAAACCAAGAAAAGGGGCAGAAUAAGUGAGAGAAUGAACGAGAAUGAAAAAAAGAAUAGAACCAGUCGGCCAGUGACAUUUUCUAGUGAAACACAUAUGGGAUGCAAGAAAAGGACUCAGAAAAGCCUUGGGAGUAAAUAUUGAAAUGAUCUUGAAUGAUUUGGCAGGAGAAGAUGUGUCAGAAAACAUUCAUGAUCUCAUUCCACCUGAAGCCAGUGCCUCUGUAAUGUGUAGCAGAAUCCUAUGGAGAAGUUGUAAAAACACAAAAUGUUGGCCCCACCCCAAGAGUUUCUGAUUUUGCAGGUCUGGAGAGGGCCUGUGAUACGUACUUCUAACAAGCUCCCAGGCGAUGCUAAUGUUGCUGGUCUAGAAACACACUUUGAGAGCCACUGUUUUACAAUGUAUUCACCCAGCUUAUGCAAUCAACUACUAUCACAGCAAAGUCCAAAGAAUGCUCCUUAUUUGUUUGUUAUACUGGAGUUUGGCUUGGCUAAAUAUUAUUUGAAACUGAAUGGCUCCUGUUGAAUUUUGGGACUCAUGAAAAGAGAAGCUCUUCUGCUCUUCACUGGUCUAGGUGCUUUGCAUGAAAAUUUGUGGAACUCUCCCAGGUUUUCUUAAAGAAGCUGAGGUUCAGAGAGGAUAAAUGAACUACCUGAUGUCGCCCAAGGAGGAGCACGUCAAGAUUUUCACUA
rnacentral:lncRNA from 10 species